ensembl:lncRNA
UUUUUUUUAAUAAACUUCCUAUUCUGAUGUCACAGUAAGUCACAUGACCCACUGUGGGCCAAUAAUACUGUGGAGUGAGAGAGUGAGACAGAGAGAGUGAAAGAGAGACAGAGAGAGACAUACAGAGAGGAAGACAGCAGGAGAGAGAGAGAGAGAAAGGGUAAAUGUGUUGUUUUGGUUUCGGUCCAGAUUGUUAAUGCGGCUCGCUUCUGAUUGAUGGAGUGUCAGUGGUUUGGUUUCUCAUCGCUGUGAGAUGAAUCGAUAAUACACACACACACACACACACACACAUACACGCACUGGAGAAAACAGAGGAAUAUCGGAUUAUGACCUCUUGUAAUCCGACAUUCCUUAUUUUCACUGUGAUGACACCGGAGUGUGAUGUUACACCUGUCCACCACAACAGUCACGUAUGAGCAGAUCCAGAGCAACUUCCACGAUGUGCAAAGGCGGUUCCGAAAUAUAUAUAUCUGAACAUAUUAGAGCUUUGUGAUUGGAAUUCGAGACACGAGUCGACUGGAGGAUCGGAGAGAUUACAGAGAAGAACAUGCCGUGAUGGUGAUGAUGAUGAUGGUGAUGAAGUCCCGAGUGCAGGAUUAUAGAGAUGGAGCAGAGCAUUUUGACGUCUGCAUUGCGAGGAGACACGGUUCUGUUCGAUCCUCCGCCUGUUCGAGUAAGCCUGAGACCCGAACUGUUCCUCGAUUUGAGAAACACAGAGGAGCUGAAUGGAGAUCAAAUUUGCCAGGCGGAUAAACCAGACGAGUUCACUUCCUGUAACUGUUAAUUAGUAAGGAUUCGUUGAUUAAAUUUUUUCAGAUCAGGUAUGAACACAUGGUUGUUGUUUUUUUUGUAUCCAUCAAUAUUGGUGCCAAAAUGAUUUACCAGUCCGUACAGGAGUGUUUUAUUGUGGGAGACCUACUCGAAUUGGCGAAAUUGCAAUUGCACGAAAUUGUUUCGCAGCAAUCUGACCUUUUUAGCUGUAGCCCGAAGAGGGCUUUGGUUGAAGGCACGUUCUGAUGAUGUCACAUGACGCAUCUUGGCCCAAAUCUGUGGGUAAUUUCUAAAAAUUGCAGGUUCUUCUGAAUAUUGCUUAGAUAAUCUACCAGACUGCGGUAUUGAUUGCCCCAGGCCCUACCUCAGUAAAAUAUUUCAAUUUGAGGCCCCUGCUUUGCCUUCCUAGAAGGCAUGAACUCCAUUUUCUCUGAAAAAAAAUGCAUGUUCAUGUAAGUUUUGCUCAUUUUUUAAAUAUUAACUAGCUAUAUUCAACUAAGUUAGCAUGUUUCCUUUGCUAAUCCCAGGGUAGACUAGCAUCGACAUAGUUAAACUAGCUAUAACACGAAUUAGCUGGUAUAUAUUGAUUUUUUUACGGGAUAUUUUACUUCUAAUUAAUACUUUAAUGAAGUAUGUAGCGUUAGCCGUGAAUAUUAGGAGCAAACUUGUACAGAUCGAAUGAAAAUCCUUUUCUUACAGUUUUAGAUAAGGAAUAAAAGUUACUUUUUUGUUUACAUGAAAACAUAACAUGAACUUACUCGAGUACAAUUUUAAUUGAGUAAUAUUUUGACAUUAUCACUUUUAUUCAGCUAGUGAGGUUACAUUAGCUGUUCACUGAAACACUACCACACUCUUGAUCUAACACUAACGUUCAGAUUAAAUCUAGAAAAUAUAGUCACCUUUCCACAGUCUAAAGCUAUUAUCUCGGGUCAUUACCUCAUCAUAAUAUACGCACGUAAAACGUACGUUCACCUCAGACUUUUAUCAGUAAUCUCCAACUAUGAUUGGUAUAACCCUGGUAUAACAAUCACACACGCAUUUGAGAAUGAAAACAUAAAUGGCGUCGAACUAAAUUGAGCUAAGCAUGGAAGGAGAGCCUCCUGAACAAUAGAAAAGCUCUUCGUGCUGCUACAUCAAUGUAUCUCUCCACCCUAACAGAAGAUAACAAAAAUAAUCCUAGAUUCUUAUUUAAGAAUCUAUUUGUCGGAACCCCGGAUCAGGAAGGCUACAGCAGGGGGCGGAGCUUGCUCUUGCAAAGCUCCACAGUUACGGAACAGCCUUCCAAUACUGUACGUGUUUGGGACUCUAGGCUAAUUAGUCUUUAAGUCUAGGCUGAAAACACAUUGUUUUUUCUUUAGGUAAAGGAGCAGAUCUGAAGGGCUCACAAGCAUCGAGUGUUGUGGUGAACUGGGAUGUUUGGAUACUGUCACCCCCCCCCCCCCCCCCCCUCCCUCCACACUUUCGUGCAUUCACCUAGGAUUGUUGAUGGUGGAGCUAGUCUUUUCGGAGUCCCUGCUUGCACUCUGCACACAAUGUACAUUGUCCUUAACCGUUACGGGGCAAUGAACAUACCUAAUAAUCUCUCUCUCUCUCUCUCUCUCGCGUGUGCGACACGAUACUCCUGAAAUAACAACGAUCCUGGCUCUCUGGGCCAGCCCGAUCCAUCCUGAUGCCCUACUUCACAUUGGAGUUCUCAUCACUUGGAAAUCACUCGCUACUGCUGAGGAUG